rnacentral:lncRNA from 1 species
CGCCUAAUGGGAAGCAGCCGCCGCGCCCCGGCCCCGCGGCGGCCGAGAUAAAACGGAAGCGCCGCGAGAGGCGCUUUGAUUCCAAUACGAAACAAAUUAUUCCUCCCGGAAUGGAACAAAAUAAGUCAGAGUGGAGUCUCACGGCCGUCAUUCCUCCCCGCAAGGUCACUACUGGCAGCCCGGGGGCCUGUGGACUCCGCGACGCUUGGCAGGGACGGUGCACCGACGACUGCUCGCCCACUGGGGCGGGGAGGUGGAGUCCCCGGCCUCUGGGCCAAAGGGAGAGGGUGUAGGGGGUGGAUGGUGGGGAGGACAGUGGCCGUAAUUCUUGCUGGGGUGACAUCUGAGGUCCUGCUUGGCUUCCUGGAACCCACUUAGGGAAGACAGACUCAUCACGUGUUGUAGGUGUGGGGUGUCUGGGACGCGCCUCCCCUCCCUGGGCUCCCUGGAGUCGACCACUGGUUCUCAAACUUGAGCACGUAUCGGAAUCCCCUGAAGGCGUUGAAGUGCUGUCCCCAACCCCAGAGUUGCUGAUUCAGUGGAUCUGAGAAUUUGCAUUUCAAUAAGGUCCCAGGUGAUGCUGAUGGUUCCACAUUUUGAAAACCACUACCCUAGGCUAUAUCUGGCAUCUCCAAGCCCUUUGUGUAGCCUCAAAGUGGUCGUGGUCUGUGUGCCCAGCCCCACCCCGUGUGCAUCCUCCGUUAGUCGCUGGUCUCUGUGUUGACGGCCUUUCCCAGGCUUCAGAAGGCAAUUUCGUCUUGCCGUCUCUGCUCCCUGGUUCUGGGGGCAGGGAACAGCUCAGGAUUGUUCAGGCUUGGGAAGAGCAGCCUCCCGACCUCCAUUCCUGCACCUAACGAGGCAAGACAGCUCCCUUCUCCUUCCUGUCACCCACCACCCUCUAGGUUUGCCUGAGUCCCAGCCCUUGGCUAGGCCAGAAAAGAACAGGAAGCCAGGUCAGCUGGUGGCACAGCGGUUAAGUUUGCACGUUCCACUUCGUUGGCGGAGUUGCCGGUUGGGAUCCCGGGUGCGGACCUACGCACGGCUUGGCAAGCCAUGCUGUGGCAGGCGUCCCACAUGUAAAGUAGAGGAAGAUGGGCACGGAUGUUAGCUCAGGGCCAGUCUUCCUCAGCCAAAAAAAGAGGAGGAUUGGCGGCAGAUGUUAGCUAAGGGCUAAUCUUUCUAAACCAAACCAAACCAAACCAAAAACCCAGGAAGCUGAGGAAGGGAUUUCUCUAACACGCUCCUUAGGAUCCACGCAAGGCCUGGCCUGGAGGGGCCGCUGUUGCGCUUCCGCCAGGGUCAGGCUCUCUCAGGGCGAUACUUCUUGUGUUACUCCGAGCAUCGCUGCCCAUGAACUAUUUGCUGAUUGGCUGAUUAAUUGUUUGGAGGAAACCUACCAGGAGGGGAAACAAAACAAAAGAAAGACAAUCCUCAAGGCUGCCGUGGACCAGGACAAGCCUCUUUUCUAGAUGGAGGUGGUGUCCCUCUCAAGUCUGGGAGAUGGAUAAGAACCUAGUCUGUGAACAUACAAGAUAGACCCCAGUGAAGUUCGGGCUUGUUGGAGCUCUUGCAAACCAGCAGUCAGGCCAAAGGACCUUCCAGGUUGGCUGCUUGAGCUGGUCAAAUGAACCAGAUCAUUUGCUUUGCCUUUUUAGCUCUGUAGCCACAACCAAAAAAAAAAAAAAAAAAAGUGCGUGUGUGAGUAAAGCAGCAAAUGUACCUUUCAUUUUAGAAACAAAAAUAUCAUUUCUGACUCAACAAUAGCCGGAUUCCUGUGAAUGAAGGGUUUGCAUAUUUUCCUGUUUUAAC